rnacentral:pre_miRNA from 1 species
AAUACGAUAAUGACAAAUCAGAUUUUUUCUCCUGAUUUUCAACUUUUUCCUCCUGAAAAAAAUUCAAACCCAACUAAAAAUGCUAAAAAACAGGACGAAAAAUCUAAUUUGCCAUUCUCCUAAU